GCAUUUGACAGCAUUAUAUAAUUUGAGUAAUGAAUUUUUUUUGGAAGAACUGUGUAAAUAGAGAAUAAAAGGAAUGAAAGGCAAGGAGGUUAACGAGGUUGCACGUUGUUUGCCACCCUACACUGGGGAAGGAGAGAAAGCGGGCAGGGAUAGAAAAAGAAGGAAAGGGAGGAAGGAGAGGAGGAAAGGGAUCCGAGGCGACGCGCGCUCACCUGCAACAGCGUUUGCCGUGCAUUCAGAGUGGGUCGCAUAGACCUGUCGUCUUUGAAAAGUACAACAGUACCGUGGCGGCUUUGUGUGGAGAUGACGCUCGAGUCCAUAGUCCCAAUGUCUUCCAAAGGAUGCACAGGCGUGGUUCAAUCGUCGACGAUGGCAGCUGCAAGUGAGAGCUCAGAUGCAAGAGCGGAAUAACUGCUGCGACCUCUGACCUUUGCGAGAAAGUCAACAUCCUGUGCACCAACUCGGCGGAAGCGUGAACCUCAGUAACGUGCACUUCAUUUCCAUGCGACAAAAAAGAAAGAAAAGGAAAAAAAAGACAGAAAAAGAUUAUGCCGAGAUAUGUGUGCUGACGAUGUUGCUGCCGCUAUCGCCAUUAAAGCGGCCAGGUACCCGUGGCAGGCAUGCAGGCGUGUCGUCCCCAGAUGCGACUAAUAAUAAUAAACCACGCGCACAACUGCA